UGAGGCACAUUUUAUAAAUAAAAAUUACAAGAUUUUUUUUUAUACCGCUAUUGUUUUUGGUUUAUUUUCAUUGGUCGGCAGAGGCAGUCAGAUCCGUCCACUGAUGAUUACGCAUGGAGAAGAUGACAAGGACGACGAGAGAACGCACACAUUAGCAGCAUUACCUUAUGUUGUGUUGUACUGUUUAAGGUUCAGUGUCAGAAGAAACCUGUAGUCAACGAAGCUACUCCACGUUUCCUCGUCAAUGUGAAGUGAGGCGCGUGAGAAGUCAGAAGUCCAUUAAACAAGUUAAAGUGAAGUUUUUUGAGAACUCCAGGGUCAACCAUUCUGUUACGUUUCGCCGCUGUUUCUGUGUGUUUUUCUUCUGUGACGUCCGACGAGGAUUUGAUGUUUUCAGUUGAACAGCUGGUGUUAGCCACUGGAUUUUUGUUUCAUCAGGAGUGGACUUUUCCAGAUAGACUGUGAGUGUUACCUGGCGAAUUUCUGCUUCGCGGGGAUACGACUGUGUCGGCUGUGACUCAGCUUCUCAAGAAGAGGAUUCCCGGACCAUUAUGUAUGUGACUGUUUCGUUUGUGUAACCAGGACGGAGGACUCUUAAAGGCCGAACCACACCGAGCAUCUAAGAGGAAUGAAUACGAAAUAAAUAUGUCGAGAACCAAAUAUCCAGAAAAUUGAAGUGUCUGCAUGGAUUCAUCAAGUCUGUCAAACUUAGCACUGCACUCCAUGAAGUCUCCCCAUGACUUCUCCCCACCAACAUAAUCUACACUGAAGCCAAACCCCACAGAACCUUUCUGCUCUCCCCACCCCGUGUGUCUUAUUCCCUCGGUACCUCAGAGGAAAUAUAUAUGCUUGCGAGGGUGCACACUUCUUCCAGCAGCAGUAAAGUCAUGUUUCUCUCCCUGGGCCUGGAGCCAAAGGCCAAUGUUGGUGUUUUACUACGAAUCUCCGCUGAACUGCAGCGAUGGCACUUUCCCACCUCAAUCCCUGGCCUCCCCUCCACUCCCCUCCAGCCCCUCAGCCUCUGGGGAUCGCUGAAGAUAAGGAUUGAACAUCUCCGGAUGCCACUUUGCAUAAAUGUUUAAUAGCAGGGAAAACAUUAGCAUCAGUAAUUAAAGCAGUAAUUUAAGCCUAGACGCCAUCAACAGGCGAGCUACUUCCACGCUGAAAUAACACAAGUGAAACACAGUAAUUAGCUUUGCUUUGAUUGGACGGGAGACUGAGUUCAGAAAAUUUGCGCUUGUGUGUGUAUGUGUGUAGUUUUACACUUCUGCGUGCACAUUAAAACGCAGGACAUACUUUUUAUGUGUACCCACUUUCUGUGCAGGAGAGAGCUCACUCUUGCACAUGAUUCUUAGUUGAUCUUUCAUAGCUGUACUAAAGAUUGAUUAGGUGUGAAUGUGUGUUCAAGCCCAGUGCGUCCUUGUGUCAAAUGGCAUUUGACAUUGGUUUGGACAGUGUUUAACUCUGGCCUGAAGAGGUCAAAUAUUGUCUAGCGCUUCCCUAAGGAAGCUGAUGUUGUCCUAUGUCAUCAUCUGUGCCCCGUGAGCCUCUGCCUUCCUCUAAUUCCCUCUAAACUGGAGACUCUAACCUUUCUUU